CAGCCGCCACGGUAAUACGGAGGGUGCGAACGUUAUUCGGAAUCACUGGGCUUAAAGCGCGUGUAGGCGGGAGGGCACGUCCGUCGCUGAAAUCCCCCGGCUCAACCGGGGAACGGGCGCGGAUACGACUCUUCUGGAGGAACGUAGGGGGACCUGGAACUUCCGGUGGAGCGGUGAAAUGCGUUGAGAUCGGAAGGAACGCCCGUGGCGAAAGCGAGGUCCUGGACGUUUACUGACGCUGAGACGCGAAAGCCAGGGGAGCGAACGGGAUUAGAUACCCCAGUAGUCCCUGUCUCUUAUA
rnacentral:rRNA from 1 species